CAAUAGCGUAUAUUAAAGUUGUUGCGGUUAAAAAGCUCGUAGUUGGAUUUCUGCCGAGGACGACCGGUCCGCCCUCUGGGUGAGCAUCUGGCUCGGCCUGGGCAUCCUCUUGGAGAACGUAGCUGCACUUGACUGUGUGGGGCGGUAUCCAGGACUUUUACUUUGAGGAAAUUAGAGUGUUUCAAGCAGGCAUCCGCCUUGAAUACAUUAGCAUGGAAUAAUAAGAUAGGACCUCGGUUCUAUUUUGUUGGUUUCUAGAGCUGAGGUAAUGAUUAAUAGGGAUAGUUGGGGGCAUUCGUAUUUAACUGUCAGAGGUGAAAUUCUUGGAUUUGUUAAAGACGGACUACUGCGAANGNAUUUGGNAAGGAUGUUUNCAUUG
rnacentral:rRNA from 1 species